rfam:Felis catus isolate Cinnamon breed Abyssinian chromosome B4, whole genome shotgun sequence.
UAGAAUAUGGUGUAAUAUGGUAGCACAAAGAUUUUUGAAUUCUUAGUAUUAGGUUCGAGUCCUAUAAUUCUAA